rnacentral:rRNA from 1 species
CACGUAGGCACCAAGCGUUGUCCGGAUUUAUUGGGCGUAAAGAGCUCGUAGGCGGUUUGUCGCGUCGGGAGUGAAAACCCAGGGCUUAACCCUGGGCUGGCUUUCGAUACGGGCAGACUAGAGGUAUGCAGGGGAGAACGGAAUUCCUGGUGUAGCGGUGAAAUGCGCAGAUAUCAGGAGGAACACCGGUGGCGAAGGCGGUUCUCUGGGCAUUACCUGACGCUGAGGAGCGAAAGUGUGGGGAGCGAACAGG